AGGAUUAGAAACAUCAGAAUGUUUGCUACAUUUUUGUGUCACAGAUUUUCAUAAAAACUGCAUUGAUUAAUUGGUUUUAUAAGUGCAUUCCCUAUACUAACAUCAGAGCAUUCUCUUUCACUGACUGCAGGUGGUAGUCAUGUGUGAGACAGAAUUCAGUGUGUGUUUGUGUGCACAUGCGUGCAUUUGCGUGCACGUGCGUACAUGUGUGUGCGUGUAUGUGUGAGUGUGUGUGUAACAAACAAUAUAAGAUUGGAACACAACCAUAUUUUAUUGCUCAAAAUACAUCAACAAAAGUAGAAGGUGGUGUGUGUGUGUGUGUGUGUGUGUGUGUGUGUGUGUGUGUGUGUGUGUGUGUGUGUGUGUGUGUGUGUGUGUGUGUGUGUGUGUGUGAGUGAACAUGUGUGUGUGUGCUUACCAAACCUGAAAGGUUAGGUAAGCAAGGUUGGUAAGCAAGGUGGAAAGAGAGACACCCAGAUAUGGGUUUCUACGACCCAUUCUUUCCAACUCCUCCCAGUCGUUGUCUGUUCCCUUCUCCAGUAAGAUAAAUAUCUGCUCCUCACACUAGCAAUUUUAGAACUGAAGAAGCUUCUUGGAUAAGAGGCAAAACGCCUUCUCAACUCUACACAGUCCAGUUGCCUGUUUUUAAGUCUAAAUCUUGCCCCAAGUGGCUUUUUUUAGCCACACCGUUACAUUAGGGAUAAACUUUAAAAAAUGCACGAUCAUCAGAGAUAAAAACUAAACGUUAUUGCCUUGAUACUUACUCAUCUUUACCAAUAUCAUCUACACUGAUUUUAAUGAUAGGAUUUUCAGUAACCAGCUACAUCACCAAUGAUAGACCUUUCAUGCAAAUGAAUUCAGUUAGUUGAAACACUCACGCUAAAGGUUAAAUUUAGGGUGUGUGACUUGAUUCUGAGCAGUGUACAGCGAACCUGGGUCAUGGAAAGCAAAAAAGAGAAAAGGGACUAGGUUUCAUUUUCUGAAAUAAGUGACAAAAAGUAUUAAACUUUUUCAUGCUAUUCUAAAUGUAAAUGACCCACAUUAUGUGUUUGUAUCAGCAGCCUUAUUUUGAAGUUAAAAUCCCUAUUUGCUAUUAUUUUAUUUCCUGUGAGUAAUAUAACAGAGACCGAUCCCCUUAUUUUGAAAGAAUUUUCACCGGAAGUUAGAAGUCAAUGAACAGUAAAAGAUAUGAAAAGUCAGGAUCACAAUCGUCAAU